rnacentral:rRNA from 1 species
GACGAACGCUGGCGGCGUGCCUAAUACAUGCAAGUAGAACGCUGAAGAGAGGAGCUUGCCCUUCUUGGAUGAGUGGCGAACGGGUGAGUAACGCGUAGGUAACCUGCCUGGUAGCGGGGGAUAACUAUGGGAAACGAUAGCUAACACCGCAUAACAACAGUUGAUGCAUGACAGCUGAUUAAAAAAUGCAACAGCAUCACUACCAGAUGGACCUGCGUUGUAUUAGCUAGUUGGUGAGGUAACGGCUCACCAAGGCGUCGAUACAUAGCCGACCUGAGAGGGUGGUCGGCCACACUGGGACUGGGACACGGCCCAGACUCCUACGGGAGGCAGCAGUAGGGAAUCUUCGGCCAUGGGGGGAACCCUGACCGAGCAACGCCGCGUGAGUGAAGAAGGUUUUCGGAUCGUAAAGCUCUGUUGUAAGAGAAGAACGGGUGUGAGAGUGGAAAGUUCACACUGUGACGGUAUCUUACCAGAAAGGGACGGCUAACUACGUG